rnacentral:rRNA from 1 species
ACGAACGCUGGCGGCGUGCCUAAUACAUGCAAGUAGAACGCUGAAGAGAGGAGCUUGCUCUUCUUGGAUGAGUUGCGAACGGGUGAGUAACGCGUAGGUAACCUGCCUUGUAGCGGGGGAUAACUAUUGGAAACGAUAGCUAAUACCGCAUAACAAUGGAUGACACAUGUCAUUUAUUUGAAAGGGGCAAUUGCUCCACUACAAGAUGGACCUGCGUUGUAUUAGCUAGUAGGUGAGGUAACGGCUCACCUAGGCGACGAUACAUAGCCGACCUGAGAGGGUGAUCGGCCACACUGGGACUGAGACACGGCCCAGACUCCUACGGGAGGCAGCAGUAGGGAAUCUUCGGCAAUGGGGGCAACCCUGACCGAGCAACGCCGCGUGAGUGAAGGAGGUUUUCGGAUCGUAAAGCUCUGUUGUAAGUCAAGAACGAGUGUGAGAGUGGAAAGUUCACACUGUGACGGUAGCUUACCAGAAAGGGACGGCUAACUACGUGCCAGCAGCCGCGGUAAUACGUAGGUCCCGAGCGUUGUCCGGAUUUAUUGGGCGUAAAGCGAGCGCAGGCGGUUUGAUAAGUCUGAAGUUAAAGGCUGUGGCUCAACCAUAGUUCGCUUUGGAAACUGUCAAACUUGAGUGCAGAAGGGGAGAGUGGAAUUCCAUGUGUAGCGGUGAAAUGCGUAGAUAUAUGGAGGAACACCGGUGGCGAAAGCGGCUCUCUGGUCUGUAACUGACGCUGAGGCUCGAAAGCGUGGGGAGCGAACAGGAUUAGAUACCCUGGUAGUCCACGCCGUAAACGAUGAGUGCUAGGUGUUGGAUCCUUUCCGGGAUUCAGUGCCGCAGCUAACGCAUUAAGCACUCCGCCUGGGGAGUACGACCGCAAGGUUGAAACUCAAAGGAAUUGACGGGGGCCCGCACAAGCGGUGGAGCAUGUGGUUUAAUUCGAAGCAACGCGAAGAACCUUACCAGGUCUUGACAUCCCGAUGCUAUUUCUAGAGAUAGAAAGUUACUUCGGUACAUCGGUGACAGGUGGUGCAUGGUUGUCGUCAGCUCGUGUCGUGAGAUGUUGGGUUAAGUCCCGCAACGAGCGCAACCCCUAUUGUUAGUUGCCAUCAUUCAGUUGGGCACUCUAGCGAGACUGCCGGUAAUAAACCGGAGGAAGGUGGGGAUGACGUCAAAUCAUCAUGCCCCUUAUGACCUGGGCUACACACGUGCUACAAUGGUUGGUACAACGAGUUGCGAGUCGGUGACGGCAAGCUAAUCUCUUAAAGCCAAUCUCAGUUCGGAUUGUAGGCUGCAACUCGCCUACAUGAAGUCGGAAUCGCUAGUAAUCGCGGAUCAGCACGCCGCGGUGAAUACGUUCCCGGGCCUUGUACACACCGCCCGUCACACCACGAGAGUUUGUAACACCCGAAGUCGGUGAGGUAACCUUUUGGAGCCAGCCGCCUAAGGUGGGAUAGAUGAUUGGGGUG